rnacentral:rRNA from 1 species
UGGGGAAUAUUGCACAAUGGGCGCAAGCCUGAUGCAGCCAUGCCGCGUGUGUGAAGAAGGCCUUCGGGUUGUAAAGCACUUUCAGCGAGGAGGAAGGUGGUGAGCUUAAUACGCUCAUCAAUUGACGUUACUCGCAGAAGAAGCACCGGCUAACUCCGUGCCAGCAGCCGCGGUAAUACGGAGGGUGCAAGCGUUAAUCGGAAUUACUGGGCGUAAAGCGCACGCAGGCGGUUUGUUAAGUCAGAUGUGAAAUCCCCGGGCUCAACCUGGGAACUGCAUUUGAAACUGGCAAGCUAGAGUCUCGUAGAGGGGGGUAGAAUUCCAGGUGUAGCGGUGAAAUGCGUAGAGAUCUGGAGGAAUACCGGUGGCGAAGGCGGCCCCCCUGGACGAAGACUGACGCUCAGGUGCGAAAAGGCGUGGGGCAGCAAACAGGAUUAGAUACCCUGGUAGUCCACGCUGUAAAACGAUGUCGAUUUUGGAGGUUGUGCCCUUGAGGCGUGGCUUCCGGAGCUAACGCGUUAAAUCGACCGCCUGGGGAGUACGGCCGCAAGGUUAAAACUUAAAUGAAUUGACGGGGUC